rnacentral:rRNA from 1 species
AUUGAACGCUGGCGGCAUGCUUUACACAUGCAAGUCGAACGGUAACAGGCCUUCGGGUGCUGACGAGUGGCGAACGGGUGAGUAAUGCAUCGGAACGUGCCCAAUCGUGGGGGAUAACGUAGCGAAAGUUACGCUAAUACCGCAUAAGCCCUGAGGGGGAAAGCAGGGGAUCGCAAGACCUUGCGCGAAUGGAGCGGCCGAUGUCAGAUUAGCUAGUUGGUGGGGUAAAGGCCUACCAAGGCGACGAUCUGUAGCGGGUCUGAGAGGAUGAUCCGCCACACUGGGACUGAGACACGGCCCAGACUCCUACGGGAGGCAGCAGUGGGGAAUAUUGGACAAUGGGCGCAAGCCUGAUCCAGCAAUGCCGCGUGUGUGAAGAAGGCCUGCGGGUUGUAAAGCACUUUCAAUGGGGAAGAACAGAUUCGGGUCAAUACCCCGGAGCCCUGACGUUACCCACAGAAGAAGCACCGGCUAACUCCGUGCCAGCAG